rnacentral:rRNA from 1 species
GAUGAACGCUGGCGGCGUGCCUAAUACAUGCAAGUCGAGCGAACAGACGAGGAGCUUGCUCCUCUGACGUUAGCGGCGGACGGGUGAGUAACACGUGGAUAACCUACCUAUAAGACUGGGAUAACUUCGGGAAACCGGAGCUAUACCGGAUAAUAUAUUGAACCGCAUGGUUUAAUAGUUAAAGACGGUUUUGCUGUCAACUAUAGAUGGAUCCGCGCCGCAUUAGCUAGUUGGUAAGGUAACGGCUUACCAAGGCAACGAUGCGUAGCCGACCUGAGAGGGUGAUCGGCCACACUGGAACUGAGACACGGUCCAGACUCCUACGGGAGGCAGCAGUAGGGAAUCUUCCGCAAUGGGCGAAAGCCUGACGGAGCAACGCCGCGUGAGUGAUGAAGGUCUUCGGAUCGUAAAACUCUGUUAUUAGGGAAGAACAAAUGUGUAAGUAACUAUGCACGUCUUGACGGUACCUAAUCAGAAAGCCACGGCUAACUACGUG